rnacentral:rRNA from 1 species
GAGUAAUACCUUAUACGCCCUUCGGGGGAGAGAUUUAUCGGAGAAGGAUUGGCCCGCGUUAGAUUAGAUAGUUGGUGGGGUAAUGGCCUACCAAGUCUACUAUCUAUAGGCUGGUUUUAGAGGAUGAUCAGCAACACUGGGACUGAGACACGGCCCAGACUCCUACGGGAGGCAGCAGUGGGGAAUCUUAGACAAUGGGCGCAAGCCUGAUCUAGCCAUGCCGCGUGAGUGAUGAAGGCCUUAGGGUCGUAAAGCUCUUUCGCCAGGGAUGAUAAUGACAGUACCUGGUAAAGAAACCCCGGCUAACUCCGUGCCAGCAGCCGCGGUAAUACGGAGGGGGUUAGCGUUGUUCGGAAUUACUGGGCGUAAAGCGCNGGUAGGCGGACUAUUAAGUGAGGGGUGAAAUCCCAGGGCUCAACCCUGGAACUGCCUCUCAUACUGGUAGUCU